AAAUAAAUAAGCCAAUUUUUCACACUGCAAUCACACACCUAAUAUUACACAUCAAUUUUCAAUUAUUCCGAUCUACAAGGCCGUUCCAAAUUGAUCAAAGCAGGAAGUAAAAGAGAAAAACAUUGUUGAAACAAACAAAAAGUGAGAUGUUGUAUCCACACCUCACCCAACCACACUUCUGUUCGUUCUCUUGCAAAAACUGUAUAUAUUCAACAGCCUACAAUAGAAAAUGGUGUCAAAAAAACCAGCUUAAUAAAAUGGGCUGCAACAUAUAAUCAAUAACCUUCUAGGUUUGUUCCUUGUUUGUUUUAUGAUACCCAGAACCAAGUUAUUUAUGUGCAUCUCUAGUUAGAACCCAACCGAAACUAAUACAAUAUCUGAGGUGAAAAAAAACAAAAAAAAUUAAUAGACAAAAAAAUUUAGCAGGAUUACGCACCACAUCCCAAGUGUUGCAUGUUGGAAAAGGGUAAUCAUUAAGACUUCAAGGUCGGCCCAUCAGGAAUGAAAGCCUGCAUAAAUGGACAAAUUCUGUAAUAGAACAUCAAUAUUCAGAGGACUAUUAACUAAGACCCCAGGGAGCAUUUUGAAGCAAGGAAAAUAUCAAUGACAGAUUGAUUAACAUGGUUGUACCAUUUUUAGGCUCGACCUCUUAUAUGAAGUAUCUUAUACUCCCUUGCAUCAUAGCCUAUAUGAGAUAACAACUGGGACACUACAAAGAAUUACUACUCAAGCUGACAGACCAAAAGCUAAUUGAAAUAUGCGAUUUCAUAAUCUGCUCCAUUCGCCAAAGAAGGAAAAGCAAACAAUGGACUAUAUCAAUAAAUCUUAUAAUAGUUGUAUUUGAUGAUAGCUAAGAACUACUUAAAUUAGCACAAUGAAUUUAGAUGGUCAAAUCUCCAACUUGCUAGUUCUCUCUUUUGGUUGUCAAUAGAUCUAAAAGAUUGCCAGAAUUCACCAACAAUUGCAUGUCCAAGUAGUGUAAAAAUCCUAACUCCGCUUAGCCAGGUUAUACAUGUAGUUCCUAGACUGUAUCACCCUGAGUUAAAGAAUUAUAAACAACAAAUACGUUAUAUGCCAGUGUGUGCGUGUGUUGCUAGCUAGUCGAUCAAUAGAAUCCACCUGCUAUUCGAUCAAUCAAUCCACCAAUUUUAUCCAUCUCAAGGCAAAGCUAGUUAGCAACGUACGUUCUUGGCUGAUUCAAUCCAUCUCAAGGCAAGUGAGGUUCGCUAUGUGUUUGUUUCGCCAUCGACCGAAAACACUGGCUAGGCGAAUAUUGGUUUCACGGCAUGAAGACGACGAUAGUGAAGGAAGGGAUCAAGAUCCAUACACCUGUGCCAGCAGUGUCCUUGACGGAGCCAAAUGGCGUCAAGUCGGAGCUGUCGGCCUUCCACGCGUUAUCAGCUCCGUUGCACAUGUCUUGAAACAUUAAAUUAAUAAAGACAAGGAGCUAGUAAGCCUUGUCCAGGUUCAUAACUAUUAGGGAUGUUUUUCAAUUCAUGAAUUAUUGAUAUACAGUUCUCUCAAAGUAUAUUUUUUACAAUGAUUUUAAGCCAUCGGACCUAUGUUAUAUAUUUGUGUCAGAACAUAAAAAUGCUAAGAAUCAUUUACUCUCCACUUGAUCUACACAAUCAUUGCUCCUCCACUGUAAUCUACUAUAAUCUGCACUAAAUUGAUCUCACAACACAACUCGAAAGUCAAAACGCCAAAUGAAUCAUGGUUGUGUCAAAGGACAAGGCAAGCCAGAUCUGAAUAAAGGACAAGGACUGCAUAGCUUACCAUAAAUUCUGAAAUGCAAGAGCAACACUUGCCGUAAAAAAUUGGAACAUGAGUAAAACUAAGGAGAGGAUCGGGACCAACGCACGUGUAACACCGCGUACUGAAGUCCGGGUUAUGGUCCUCCCUGCUGCACAUGCCGUCGCCACAGUCACCGCCGUCUGCCUGCAAUGAUGAUGACGCGCCGAUUCCUCGUAAUGGGAGAACCUUGCCAUGGGUGUUUCAUGCUACCAUAGACUCGAAUCGCGGAGGAAGAUGACUACUACGGGAUUAGAAUUUUUGUCUAAAAGGACCAUCUCUCGAAAUGAUUUGCUAAAAAAGACCACAUGCGGUACCUAAAGACAAAAAAGACCCCCUCUUUGCAUGGCGACAGGCGCGCCAGGCGACACGUGGCACCUGCCGCUACCAGCCGAGGCGGUUGGGGCCUACCACCACGGCGCCAGGCGG
rnacentral:lncRNA from 1 species